rnacentral:rRNA from 1 species
AUGGAACAUACUCAAAAACUGUUAGACAAAAGCGAUGACAUGUUGGACGCGGAAAUGACACGUUCACAGUCCUUAGUUGAAGACAUAAAAAAUCUUCAUGCUAAGUAUCAAGAACUUGAAAGUCUUCAUGAGACGCUCUCAACCACUUAUGAAAAGCUCUCCUAUGAUUAUCUUCAAAGGAAGCAAGAGCUUGAGAAAUUGAAAGCGACUCAUGAAGAUCUUCAAAAAGAGAACGAGUCAUUUCGCGCUCAACAGAUUAGUUCCGCUCAGGAUGGAUUUGAACCACCAUGUUUAAAAUGCAUUGAGCGUAAUAACGCUACCUCUGUUGCUGAAUGUUCCAAUGCUGCUACUGUUGCUUUGUCUUCAACUACUGAUGUGGCAACUAACCCCUUUGCUGAGGAUACCACUACUAUUGCUGAUGAAAAUGCUAGGUUGAAGACACUGCUUGAAAUAGGGAUGUAUAAAAGUCUGAAAGGACAUCAGACACUUUGUGAUGUCCUCAAAAAGCAGAUUCUGAACCGAAACCCUAGGAAAGAGGGUGUUGGGUUCGAGAGGAAAAUGAAUGCUGAUGGUUCCUACUGGAAGCCUGAGUAG